UACGAAGGGGGCGAGCGUUGUUCGGAAUUACUGGGCGUAAAGGGCGCGUAGGCGGCCCUCUUUGUCGCGUGUGAAAGCCCCGGGCUCAACCUGGGAACUGCGUCCGAGACUGGCGGGCUCGAAUUCGGGAGAGGGAUGCGGAAUUCCAGGUGUAGCGGUGAAAUGCGUAGAUAUCUGGAGGAACACCGGUGGCGAAGGCGGCAUCCUGGACCGAUAUUGACGCUGAUGCGCGAAAGCCAGGGGAGCAAACGGG
rnacentral:rRNA from 1 species